UCUCGGCCAGCUGAAGAUAAGCCUUACACUGGGUCAGCCCUUUAGACCAUACAAUAAACUAUUGGGAAUUUUCCCUGCUGCAAGGGUUUUCCAGGAACCAAAUCGGGAGUGUUGGUAGUGUGUUUCACAGAUAACAAGCAUGGAUUUCACUGGUCUCAUUUCAUUCAUCUGCAAGGUACAAGCACUUGGGACAAUUUGCUCCACUAUGAAGAGAGCCAACUGUAGCUCAACUUCCAGGAGAUUGGAGUAAAAUUGGAGUAAUUAAAUUGGACUGAUGCCAAGGGAUCCAGGUAUGUAGAUAUGAUUGUGAAUCCUGAAGUAGCUGAUGUAUUCUGGAGAAGGGCGAACCUGG